AUUGAACGCUGGCGGCAUGCUCUACACAUGCAAGUCGAACGGUAACAGGCCGCAAGGUGCUGACGAGUGGCGAACGGGUGAGUAAUGCAUCGGAACGUGCCCAGUCGUGGGGGAUAACUACUCGAAAGAGUAGCUAAUACCGCAUACGAUCUAUGGAUGAAAGCGGGGGACCGUAAGGCCUCGCGCGAUUGGAGCGGCCGAUGUCAGAUUAGGUAGUUGGUGGGGUAAAGGCUCACCAAGCCAACGAUCUGUAGCUGGUCUGAGAGGACGACCAGCCACACUGGGACUGAGACACGGCCCAGACUCCUACGGGAGGCAGCAGUGGGGAAUUUUGGACAAUGGGCGCAAGCCUGAUCCAGCAAUGCGGCGUGCAGGAAGAAGGCCUUCGGGUUGUAAACUGCUUUUGUACGGAACGAAACGGCUCUGGUUAAUACCAGGGGAUAAUGACGGUACCGUAAGAAUAAGCACCGGCUAACUACGU
rnacentral:rRNA from 1 species